rnacentral:rRNA from 1 species
GGAGGAGCUUGCUCUUCUGGAUGAGUUGCGAACGGGUGAGUAACGCGUAGGUAACCUGCCUGGUAGCGGGGGAUAACUAUUGGAAACGAUAGCUAAUACCGCAUAAGAGUAGGUGUUGCAUGACAUUUGCUUAAAAGGUGCAAUUGCAUCACUACCAGGUGGACCUGCGUUGUAUUAGCUAGUUGGUGGGGUAACGGCUCACCAAGGCGACGAUACAUAGCCGACCUGAGAGGGUGAUCGGCCACACUGGGACUGAGACACGGCCCAGACUCCUACGGGAGGCAGCAGUAGGGAAUCUUCGGCAAUGGACGGAAGUCUGACCGAGCAACGCCGCGUGAGUGAAGAAGGUUUUCGGAUCGUAAAGCUCUGUUGUAAGAGAAGAACGAGUGUGAGAGUGGAAAGUUCACACUGUGACGGUAUCUUACCAGAAAGGGACGGCUAACUACGUGCCAGCAGCCGCGGUAAUACGUAGGUCCCGAGCGUUGUCCGGAUUUAUUGGGCGUAAAGCGAGCGCAGGCGGUUAGAUAAGUCUGAAGUUAAAGGCUGUGGCUUAACCAUAGUACGCUUUGGAAACUGU